UACGGAAGGGGCUAGCGUUGCUCGGAAUGACUGGGCGUAAAGGGCGCGUAGGCGGAUGGCACAGUCAGAUGUGAAAUUCCCGGGCUUAACCUGGGGGCUGCAUUUGAUACGUGUUGUCUUGAGUUCGGAAGAGGGUCGUGGAAUUCCCAGUGUAGAGGUGAAAUUCGUAGAUAUUGGGAAGAACACCGGUGGCGAAGGCGGCGACCUGGUCCGACACUGACGCUGAGGCGCGAAAGCGUGGGGAGCAAACAGG
rnacentral:rRNA from 1 species